rnacentral:lncRNA from 8 species
AUGGCACUUGCUAGAAUGGAAUGCCACUGCUGUUCAACUGUCAUGAGUGUCAUUGAACGGUCACCCUUUUAUCAACAUUCUUUCUGGCUCUCUGUUCUUCUCCUGACCCAUAUGGUCUCUAUCUCUCCCACUGGCCCUGUUCCUCUCCUGCCCCUUAUGGUCUCUAUCUCUCACACUGGCCCUGUUCUUCUCCUGACCCAUAUGGUCUCUAUCUCUCCCACUGGCCCUGUUCCUCUCCUUCCCCAUAUGGUCUCUAUCUCUCACACGGCCAGUGUUCCUCUCCUGCAACCUAUGGUCUCUAUCUCUCCCACUGGCCCUGUUCCUCUCCUGCAACCUAUGGUCUCUAUCUCUCCCACUGGCCCUGUUCCUCUCCUGCAACCUAUGGUCUCUAUCUCUCCCACUGGCCCUGUUCUCCUCCUGCCCCAUAUGGUCUCUAUCUCUCCCACUGGCCCUGUUCUCCUCCUGCCCCAUAUGGUCUCUAUCUCUCCCACUGGCCCUGUUCCUCUCCUUCCCCAUAUGGUCUCUAUCUCUCCCACUGGCCCUGUUCUCCUCCUGCCCCAUAUGGUCUCUAUCUCUCCCACUGGCCCUGUUCCUCUCCUUCCCCAUAUGGUCUCUAUCUCUCACACUGGCCCUGUUCUUCUCCUGCCCCAUAUGGUCUCUAUCUCUCACACUGGCCCUGUUCCUCUCCUGCCCCCUAUGGUCUCUAUCUCUCACACUGGCCCUGUUCUUCUCCUGCCCCAUAUGGUCUCUAUCUCUCACACUGGCCCUGUUCUUCUCCUGCCCCAUAUGGUCUCUAUCUCUCACACUGGCCCUGUUCCUCUCCUGCCCCCUAUGGUCUCUAUCUCUCCCACUGGCCCUGUUCCUCUCCUGCCCCCUAUGGUCUCUAUCUCUCCCACUGGCCCUGUUCCUCUCCUGCCCCAUAUGGUCUCUAUCUCUCCCACUGGCCCUGUUCCUCUCCUGCCCCAUAUGGUCUCUAUCUCUCACACUGGCCCUGUUCCUCUCCUGACCCAUAUGGUCUCUAUCUCUCCCACUGGCCCUGUUCCUCUUUCUUUCUUUCUUUCUUUCUUUCUUUCUUUCUUUCUUUCUUUCUUUCUUUCUUUCUUUCUUUCUUUCUUUCUUUCUUUCUUUCUUUCUUUCUUUCUUUCUUUCUUUCUUUCCCCUCCCUCCCNNNNNNNNNNNNNNNNNNNNNNNNNNNNNNNNNNNNNNNNNNNNNNNNNNNNNNNNCUCCCUCCCUCCGUGUGCUGUGUGCUGUGUGCUGGGUGCUAUGUACUAUGUACUAUGUACCCAUGA